rnacentral:lncRNA from 1 species
GUUCUUACUGCUCCUAAUAGAGCACCCCCCCCCCCCCCAGCAGCAGAACACUCAGACCCAGGUUCUUACUGCUCCUAAUAGAGCACCCCCCCCCCCCCAGCAGCAGAACACUCAGACUGGGUUCUUACUGCUCCUACUAGAGCAUCUCCCCCCCCCCCCCCCCCCCCCAGCAGCAGAACACUCAGACUAGGUUCUUACUGCUCCUAGUAGAGCAUCCCCCCCCCCCCCAGCAGAACACUCAGACUGGGUUCUCACUGCUCUUAGUAGAUCAUCUCCCCCCUCCCCCCAGCAGCAGAACACUCAGACUGGGUUCUCACUGCUCCUAGUAGAACUCAGCUCAGUGAAAGUCUGUGCUUGCAUACUCCUUCAAAAUAACCUUUGCUUAAAAAAAACGAGAACAAAAAAAAGCAACAAUAUGACUGUUUGUCCCUCUUGAGACAACACAGCCAGUAACACUUUCUUAAAACAGUCUGAAUUAAUCUAAGAUAAAUCAAGAAAUCUGAAAAUCAUUCUGAUGUUUUUUUGCAAGGUCUUAGUCGCGCAUUUUUACAUCGAAAAUUGGGGCAGUAAUUCUCAAGUGAACUUGCAUGAAAACUAGUCGUCUCUUGUUGAAUAACAACAAACACUUACUUGAAGAAUCACGUCCAUAGUUCCCAAUCCUACUAGGAGUAGUGCUCUUGACCAAUGACGGACGAAGGGGCAUAGACUUCGGCUACCGAACCUCAACUUGCCUCAAUAAAACAUUCUGUGUGCGUGAACAGCCCCAAAAACCUGCCCGAAGAUCAAAACGUCACAAAACUUUGUCCCAAUACAGGUCCCAAUACAGGUCCCAAUACAGGUCCCAAUACAGGUCCCACCACAGGUCCCAAUACAGGUCCCACCACAGGUCCCAAUACAGGUCCCACCACAGGUCCCAAUACAGGUCCCACCACAGGUCCCAAUACAGGUCCCACCACAGGUCCCAAUACAGGUCCCAAUACAGGUCCCACCACAGGUCCCACCACAGGUCCCAAUACAGGUCCUAAUACAGGUCUCACCACAGGUCCCAAUACAGGUCCUAAUACAGGUCUCACCACAGGUCCCAAUACAGGUCCUAAUACAGGUCCCAAUAGAGGUCCCAAUAGAGGUCCCAAUACAGGUCCCACCACAGGUCCUAAUACAGGUUCAAAUACAGGUCCUAAUACCGGUCUCACCCCAGGUCCCAAUACAGGUCCUAAUACAGGUCAUAAUACAGGUCCCAAUACAGGUUCCAAUACAGGUCCCACCACAGGUCCCAAUAGAGGUCCCAAUAGAGGUCCCAAUACAGGUCCCACCACAGGUCCUAAUACAGGUUCAAAUACAGGUCCUAAUACCGGUCUCACCCCAGGUCCCAAUACAGGUCCUAAUACAGGUCCCAAUACAGGUCCCAAUACAGGUCCACAGUAGACCCAGUCUCCACAGAAGACCCAGUCUCCACAGUAGACCCAGUCUCCACAGUAGACCCAGUCUCCACAGUCUCCACAGUAGACCCAGUCUCCACAGUGGACCCAGUCUCCACAGUAGACCCAGUCUCCACAGUAGACCCAGUCUCCACAGUAGACCCAGUCUCCACAGUAGACCCAGUCUCCACAGUGGACCCAGUCUCCACAGUGGACCCAGUCUCCAGAGUAGUCCCAGUCUCCAGAGUAGACCCAGCCUCUAUAUUCCUCUAUCUGUUCAUAAAUAA